rnacentral:sRNA from 1 species
AUAUUAAAAUUAAAAAGAUACAUGAAGAUUAGUUUUCAUCGGACAAACCCGAAUAACAAACCCGAAUAACAAGUUUGAAAAUUGAAAAGUUGACCAAACAUAACUCAAACAUAGAGACACUAGCUGAAGUAAGUUUGAUAGGAGACCAUGAGACGUUUCGAAACUAACUAACACAAGCAUGCCCAUGAGAGAAAUCGUAAACAACACAAAAACCUCGACUGGUAAGAAAAUAGUCACCGUAACUAGUGACAUUAAAACGAAAUUCAA